rnacentral:sRNA from 1 species
CUUAGGAAACUCACAUACUCUCCCUCUGUUUGUGUUCUCCACAAUGAUUUAUUUCAUAUUCUCCUCAGUGGUUUUAUUCUUUCUCUUAGUAUUUUCUUAAGGUCUUGACAAAGCCAUGUGCCUAUUCCCAAGAACCACCAAGGAAAAGAGUGGCUAUUAUUUUUUCCUGGGCCUGAGUUAGUUUAAUGGGUAAACAGGGUGCAGAUUAAAGUGAGUGUGGCCCUCAAGCCCAUUUGCUCAGACUUCUGGAGGAUUUUGAAAGUUGCUGUUCUAAAAAAAUGAUCACACCUAACACUGGAAUGGGCCACUUAAAAUGUGCGGAGAGGGUAGAGAGUGGAAACGCCCCACCCAAGGCUGUUCUCUCACCCAGUCCCACCUCUCCCAGGUAACUUAAUAAUUAACUGUAUUUUGUAUUUUUUCAGUGCACAUUUUGAAAAACUAUAUGAAUUUUAAACACAGAUGGAAUCAUACUUUACAUUUACUUUCUGUAACUUCUUUUUUCCACUUAAUAUUUCUUGGACAUCUUCCCCUGUCAGUACACCUGUCUCAUUUUUUUUUACAGCAUAGAGUUUUCCAUGGUAUGGCUGUACCAUAAUUUAUUUAACCCAUCCCUUAUUGGUGGACAUUUAGGUUGUUUCCAGUAUUUUGCUAUCACAACGCUUCCGUGAACACCUCGAGCACAUGUGCAAGUAUACCUGGGGGAUAGAUUCUGCAGUGUAAUUGCUGUGCCACAGGGUAUGACCAUCUUCCAUUCUGAUAGAUGUUGAGACCGCUGCUUCUUGAAACCUUAGGGCCCAGGCCUACCUGGGGCAGGGGAGGAUAGUGGGGGUUGGGGAGGAGAUCCCUACAACUGGUUGUUCAUCUUCCCCAGCUGCGGCUUGAUGAGACCCAGGAGGCAGAGUUCCAGGCCCUUCGGCAGCAGCUUCAACAGGAGCUGGAGCUGCUCAACGCUUACCAGAGCAAGAUCAAGAUCCGAACAGAGAGCCAGCACGAGAGGGAGCUGCGGGAGCUGGAGCAGAGGGUUGCGCUGCGGCGGGCACUGCUGGAGCAGCGGGUGGAAGAGGAGCUGCUGGCCCUGCAGACAGGGCGCUCCGAGCGAAUCCGCAGUCUGCUUGAGCGGCAGGCCCGUGAGAUCGAGGCCUUCGAUGCGGAAAGCAUGAGGCUGGGCUUCUCCAGCAUGGCUCUGGGGGGCAUCCCGGCUGAGGCUGCUGCCCAGGGCUAUCCCGCUCCACCCCCUGCCCCAGCCUGGCCCUCCCGUCCCGUUCCCCGUUCUGGGGCACACUGGAGCCACGGCCCUCCUCCACCAGGCAUGCCCCCUCCAGCCUGGCGUCAGCCGUCUCUGCUGGCUCCCCCAGGCCCCCCAAACUGGCUGGGGCCCCCCACACAGAGUGGGACACCCCGUGGCGGAGCCCUGCUGCUGCUAAGAAACAGCCCCCAGCCCCUGCGGCGGGCAGCCUCGGGAGGCAGUGGCAGUGAGAAUGUGGGCCCCCCUGCUGCCGCGGUGCCUGGGCCCCUGAGCCGCAGCACCAGUGUCGCUUCCCACAUCCUCAAUGGUUCUUCCCACUUCUAUUCCUGAAGUGCAGCGGGGAGGAGCAGAUGAGCUGGGCAGGGCAGGGGUGGGUGGAGCCUGACCCUGGAGGGCACUGAGCUGGAGGCCCCCGCAAGGGUAGGGGACAAGAUGUAGGCUCCAGCUCCCCUCAGACCUCCUCAUCUCAUGA